rnacentral:rRNA from 1 species
CCAGACUCCUACGGGAGGCAGCAGUGGGGGAUAUUGCACAAUGGGGGAAACCCUGAUGCAGCGACGCCGCGUGGGCGAAGAAGUAUUUCGGUAUGUAAAGCCCUAUCAGCAGGGAAGAAGAAAUGACGGUACCUGAGUAAGAAGCACCGGCUAAAUACGUGCCAGCAGCCGCGGUAAUACGUAUGGUGCAAGCGUUAUCCGGAUUUACUGGGUGUAAAGGGAGCGCAGGCGGCACGGCAAGCCUGAUGUGAAAGCCCGCGGCCCAACCGCGGGACUGCAUUGGGAACUACCGGGCUGGAGUGCCGGAGGGGCAGGCGGAAUUCCUGGUGUAGCGGUGAAAUGCGUAGAUAUCAGGAGGAACACCGGUGGCGAAGGCGGCCUGCUGGACUGCGACUGACGUUGAGGCCCGAAAGCGUGGGGAGCAAACAGGAUUAGAUACCCCCGUACC